ensembl:lncRNA
GGGAAACUCUGUCAUAUCCAGUCUGCAGAGCUCUGCCAUAUGCAACGCCUGGCGUUCCAUACUGCCAACCACCCCAUCUUUAAAGUCCAUGAAAGGUUUUCCUUUCCAUGGUGAACUUUGGUGACAGAGUGCAGAAGAAGUGCUCUGUCUGUGUCACGUUAAAGGAAUCUGAACUCCAUCACGUUCUGUAUUUUCAGCCUUUACUGGUGAAAUGUCUGUUCUUCCUGAGAACCACUGAGAAGGCCAUAACCACCGCUAACGUGCAGCAGGAAGUGAACUUUGGCGUGUUGGACUGCAGCGGCGGCAGCGGCAUCCUGAACAGUCUGGAAACUCUGCUGACUCACAUCAUGUUACCUGCUCUCAGGUCGCAGCAGUCAUGGGGCUCUGUGCAGGACGGCGCCUCGUGUCCACACGUCCAGUCCUUCCUGUCCUCGGUGGAUCAGGUUGUCAGUAAUCUGAGCUCAGCCAGACUGAACAUGGAGAGAAAGUUCCAGCUGCAGCACAUCGAGCUUCCUGACGCCAUCAGCCAGCUGAGCAGCCCUGCAGACUACAGAGCAGCAGGUAUGAAGCUCAAGCUGUUCACAUCUCACACAAACAAUAAGACUGUUGGAAAUACAGGAAACAUCAUUUAAAAGGUUUAAAAAUCAACUCUCAGGUAAAUCAAACCAGUUUAUCUGUGGAGGCUGAAGGAAGCAUCUGACCUGAGACGAUGGCUUCUUUGAAAUAAUGAGUCCGUGUUCACGUGUGUUUAGAGAAACUCGUGUGUUUCGCUCUCAGCCAAUAACAGUGAGCUGGUGGAGCGUCUUGAGGAGGUGUUGACCC